CUUCCUCUGUCCCGGCGGAUCCAGCACCCGAGCCAGCUGGAGUGCCCGCCGCGCCUCCCAGGGGGAGCCAGAUGGCGUUCGUCGCUCCUCGCGGCCGUGCGCGUGGUGGUGCCCUGGUGAGGAGGCGCCGCCGACGAGCAGCAUAAAAUGCGGGCCAGCCGGAUGGCGCGAGGAGCCGCGCGCGCGCGUCGUCGCGUGGAGUUGGGCCUCGUCCAAGUCCUGCCGCGACGACGUCUUCCGGGUGACCUGCGCCCACGGCAUGGAGGACGCCUUCUUCUAGUGCUCCGUCGGCUGGGUUAGGAGCGCCACCAGGUCAGCUUCUGCCGGCCUGCCCGCCAGGUGCUUGUGUUUAUUCCCAUGCGUUCCAGUUCCACUGUGACUCUGUCCUAAUUAGCUGUAGUCACUACCAGUGAGUAACAUUUCUGUGCAUCCCUGCUUGGCCACGCCUACUUGGUGGAUGCUGCGUGCCUGCGUCCGUGCAAUCGAGGUGUGGCUAAGAUUGCUGCGCAUCCUGGAUUCCUGGUCUUACAACAACCAGAUACCGAGGCUCGAUUCUCUCACCGAUGAAUAUUUUAGGACAAGUAGACUAGAAUACCGCAAGGUUUUGAUUGGUUUGAUGUGUGCCGGCCGGUAGUUGGCAUAGGACAAAUGACAAAUCAUACAUUAAGACAGUAGACAGAUCAAGAAAAAUGUUAAGUUGAUCGGUCCGUCAAGCUGUAGGUGAGUAUAAGGCUAAGAGCUGCUGCAACCACUCUUGCUUUCCUUCAGUUAAACAUACCAGUUUGAAACGAGAAUGGAGCUGCCUGCGUUUUUACAUUUUAGCCAGGACAAGUUAAAUAUGAUCAAAUCGUGCUCCUGCCUGGCGCACCCACUGCCAAUUGGACUAUGCGUAUAAAGAACUGGGGUAUUAUAUUAUAUGAAAACAUAAGUUAAGACAAGCCCACAGAGGCAUUCGGUCAAGUCAAGAAAGUAUAUUAUUAAUGGUAUAUAUAGCCCCUCGAUGUAAGCUCUUAUAGUAUAGGAAAUCCACUAGACAUGUGACAACGCUCAUAGCUACCGCUAACCAUGUGCACACAUAAAUUGGAUUAGGGAGCGAACUUGAAACAAAUCAGCCUUACUUUGUGCCUGUGUGCGACUGAUUGUUGAGCAAGAGCAGGAAAGGGAAAGAGCUAGACCAGAUGGGUCUGUCGAGCGCUGUGGAUUGGUGGGAGGAGUGGCAGCUGCGCAUCCUCGUCCUCGGCAGCCUCUUUGUCCAAUACCUCCUGCUCUGCUCUGCCCCCUUCCGUAAGUUUGCUAUUCCUUCCUGGUACAGAUCCAUCAUAUGGCUCGCAUACCUAGGCAGUGAUUCUGUAGCCAUAUACGCCCUGGCUACCCUCUUUAACCGCCAGAGGAGACAGGAUUAUGGUUCUGCAAACAGCAAUAGCAUCCUGGAGGUGGUGUGGGCGCCAGUUCUCCUGAUGCACCUCGGCGGACAGGACGUAAUAAGUGCGUACAAUAUCGAAGACAACGAGCUGUGGACACGGCAUGUCCUCACUGCAGUGUCUCAAGUCACAGUAGCUAUCUACGUGUUCUGCAAAUCAUGGCCAGGCACAGGCGGAGACACAAGGUUGUUGCUGGCAUCAAUCUGCUUCUUUGUCUCAGGGAUUGUCAAAUGCAUAGAGAAACCUUGGGCUCUCAAGAGAGCUAGCAUCAAUAGCCUAGUCAGCUCUUCUGAUACUGCCGCGAGGAUGGGAAGCAUGUUUGGCAAGACCAUUUCGCUUGAAGAGUACGUGCAAGAAGCAAGGAAUUUUGUCCAGUCCCAAGUAGAAGGCCAUGCAGUUGACCUUGAGCACAACCAUGUUCCUCAAGCCCAAGCAGAAACUGAUGCAGUGGAAUCCAACCAUCAUCGUCAAGCACAUGGAAAAGGUAAUGCUGCUGACCUUGAUCCCAACCAUAUUCUUCGAGCCCAAGGAGAGGCCAAUGGAAAAAGGCGCCUAAUCCAAAAAAGGGAAAAUAAUAGAAAAUAUGAUGUUCAGAUCCGUAAGAUAUUUGUGGACCUUGCAUCAUCGUAUACUGAUCGACUGGAUAUCCUAAAAUCCUUUUGGGUGCUUGAUGAGAAAAGAGCAUGCGCUUUUUUGCGAAAAGGGCUAUUAAACACAUUUGAUCUUCUCUACACCAAACAAAAGGUGAAUACAUCCAUGGAAAUUAUCAGAAAAAUUCAAGAAGCGAGAAAAGCAGAUAUUACAUUUCAGAACUUUUUUACUUGGUGCUUUUUGGCACUAGCUCUGUACCUGCCAUUUGCUGCCAUCGGCCUCUUCCACAAGAGUCACAGAGGCACUUAUAAUGUUAAUGAUGUCAAGGUUACAUAUGCCUUGUUCUGUUGUACUGCUGCGAUGCAGUUUUUUGCCAUGUACUUUCACAUGCUUGCAGCAGCUCUGAGCGGUUUACUGAUAUCAUCUGGCAUGGUUGCUCAGUAUAGCCUACUAAAUUUCUUUAUUCGCAACGAAAGGCACAGCAAGAAGAUGUGCGUUCUUAGUUCCUUCAACUGCAAGGACUUCCUUGACCAGCGUUGGUGCAUGAAGUCAUGCUCCUCAUCUUUCGGAAUUACAGAGUUGGUUCUUGGAUAUGUGAAAUGUUGCUGGGAGAAAGACAUAGUAGAUGCUGCCAGUUAUAGGAAAUUCAGUGAUCAGAGGGGCCAGUGGACUAUUCAGCGUAGUGGGUGCGACAAAGACCAGGAAUGGGGGCUAAACAGGUCGUUCGACGAGAGUGUCCUUCUCUGGCACAUCGCAACGGACUUGUGCUUCUACCAAAAGGGAGACACAUCAGCUAGUCGUGGAGAUGCCACAAAAUGCAGAGAAAUUUCCAACUACAUGGUAUACCUACUGUUUGUCCAUCCUGAGAUGCUAUUGCCCGGCACAAGACGAAAUCUGUUCAAGGCUGCUAACGCUGAACUGGAGGAGAUUUUCAAGGACGACAAGCCAUUACUCAAGGCCAUCCUCAAGGGUGGCAAGCCAUCGCUAAUGGAGAUUCCCAAGCGAAAGGGGCCAUUGCCUGAGCAGAUUGAAAGAAGACUUGUGGACAGUAUAAUCGCCAAGGUGCAACCAACAAAAUACAGCAAACAAGUUGAACACACAUACUUGGCACCAGCUGCACAGGAAGGUUUUAUCCAUGAGGCCCGGAAGAUUUCUGAACUAUUGUUGUCUUUGGGCGAUGAGAAGAUGUGGAAGGUGAUCAAAGGUGUGUGGGUGGAGAUGCUCUGCUUCUCAGCCAGUAGGUGCCGAGGAUUCCUACAUGCCAAGAGUUUGGGCACCGGCGGGGAGCUGCUCACAUAUGUAUGGCUCCUGCUGUCGCACAUGGGGAUGGAGACCUUGCCGGAGAGGGCACAGAGGAGGGAGCUUUCAAGUGAAGGAGGAAACAUGGGUGCUGCUCCGUUCACUUCGCGGGUCAGCAUCCCCACUGGGGAGGACAUGGUUUGAUCAUUGAUGCUUAUGAAGACCAUUUUCCCCUGAUUUCAAUCUUCGGUGUCGCUUAUUUUCUUACCCAUUGUGGACUUUCUUGUUUGUACUCCCUCCGUAAAGAAAUAUAUAAGAUCGUUUAGAUCACUACUUGCUUCUCUAGUGUUCUUGUUCUUCAGUUGAAUAAAACCAUGUGGUGCUUGUAUGUUUCUUAUUACAGUGGCUACCAGUCUGCCACCAUGUUUGUAAGAGUGGGAUCGUGAGUCAUUUAAAUGUUUGAUUAGCAUAGUAAUGUAAUGUAUUACUACUACCCAAAUAUCAGAAUUGCAGUGCUGUUUUCCUUGUUCAAUCUUGACAAUUUUCGUUGAUUACUACCCAAAGAAAGUGCAGUUGUUUCUUCUUUGAUUUAUAUGAUUUCUGCUGCAGUAUUGCUCCAGCUCAAUAUGCAGAGUGUCCGAUGAUGCCAAGGCUGGAGAUAUUAUAACAUGUGAACGUGGUCUACCAGAUGAAGGUAGAGCCUCGGCAACAGCAAGCUUCAGACGCUGUUGCGGCCAAAUCUAUCUCGUCGACAGCCCCAAGAAAUGUAGCACGCGAGUAAUCUGAGGGAUUAUGGUAUCCCUUUAUCUGUUCUUGGGAAAUAACCUAGUCUGUGUUGGAGUCUUGGAGAACAUACUUUGCCACCUAAUCCAAGGGAUGGAUUGCCUCCGGCCCAUGCCUGCUUCAGUUAAAAGACCUGCAUCCAUGCGUCGAGUUAUCGGUAUGUAUGUUAACUGUGAUGCUAAAUGAUCGUGGGCUAACUUGUGUCAAGACCUCAGAGAACACCCGUGUGUUCUGCUGUGAUCCUAAAUCUAUUCAGGAUAUGUUUUUGGGUUGCUUGGUACUGCCUACUACUCUGUACGUACUAGCUAGGCACCUGCCGGCUGAAGUUUCUGAAAUGCUACAGUGUUGAGGUAUGAGGUGGUCGAACCCCGAACAUGAGGACGCCCUGGAUGAAGGUUCAUCAUAUUGCUGCUGCAACAUUGGAAGCCCCCGUGCAAAGCCUUGCUCGACACUGCCCGACCGACGCAGCCACGCUGAUGGAUGAGAUGCAAGCGCAAAGCGAAACACGGAGAAUUGCCUGGACACUCACCCCAUCUGCUGUCAAUCGCGUUGUUUUACCGACCGGCAGGGGCAUGGAAUUCCCCUUGGCAUCGAUGCAAUGUCGGCAGUGUACCUUCUUUUUCUGAAUGUUGGGACUGGCGCUGUAGACUACUCCACGGUGCUGUUUCAUCCAAGGAAAAGAGGUGUGUCUGUUGAUUCAGCGGGGAGCUUUUGCAUAUCUUGCAGAUGGUUUUUUCCCCUUGCUUUGGUGAAUAAAUAAAUAAAUUUUACGUUGGAUAAAUAUUGUUACUAGGUCAGAUUUCGUGUCACUGCUGUUUUUUUAGAAUAUGCUACAAAUGUCAUUGCUACAAAUGUCGAUGUUUUUUUUU